rnacentral:rRNA from 1 species
GAUGAACGCUGGCGGCGUGCCUAAUACAUGCAAGUCGAGCGAACGGACGAGAAGCUUGCUUCUCUGAUGUUAGCGGCGGACGGGUGAGUAACACGUGGAUAACCUACCUAUAAGACUGGGAUAACUUCGGGAAACCGGAGCUAAUACCGGAUGAUAUUUUGAACCGCAUGGUUCAAAAGUGAAAGACGGUCUUGCUGUCACUUAUAGAUGGAUCCGCGCUGCAUUAGCUAGUUGGUAAGGUAACGGCUUACCAAGGCAACGAUGCAUAGCCGACCUGAGAGGGUGAUCGGCCACACUGGAACUGAGACACGGUCCAGACUCCUACGGGAGGCAGCAGUAGGGAAUCUUCCGCAAUGGGCGAAAGCCUGACGGAGCAACGCCGCGUGAGUGAUGAAGGUCUUCGGAUCGUAAAACUCUGUUAUUAGGGAAGAACAUAUGUGUAAGUAACUGUGCACAUCUUGACGGUACCUAGUCAGAAAGCCACGGCUAACUACGUGCCAGCAGCCGCGGUAAUACGUAGGUGGCAAGCGUUAUCCGGAAUUAUUGGGCGUAAAGCGCGCGUAGGCGGUUUUUUAAGUCUGAUGUGAAAGCCCACGGCUCAACCGUGGAGGGUCAUUGGAAACUGGAAAACUUGAGUGCAGAAGAGGAAAGUGGAAUUCCAUGUGUAGCGGUGAAAUGCGCAGAGAUAUGGAGGAACACCAGUGGCGAAGGCGACUUUCUGGUCUGUAACUGACGCUGAUGUGCGAAAGCGUGGGGAUCAAACAGGAUUAGAUACCCUGGUAGUCCACGCCGUAAACGAUGAGUGCUAAGUGUUAGGGGGUUUCCGCCCCUUAGUGCUGCAGCUAACGCAUUAAGCACUCCGCCUGGGGAGUACGACCGCAAGGUUGAAACUCAAAGGAAUUGACGGGGACCCGCACAAGCGGUGGAGCAUGUGGUUUAAUUCGAAGCAACGCGAAGAACCUUACCAAAUCUUGACAUCCUUUGACAACUCUAGAGAUAGAGCCUUCCCCUUCGGGGGGGACAAAGUGACAGGUGGUGCAUGGUUGUCGUCAGCUCGUGUCGUGAGAUGUUGGGUUAAGUCCCGCAACGAGCGCAACCCUUAAGCUUAGUUGCCAUCAUUAAGUUGGGCACUCUAAGUUGACUGCCGGUGACAAACCGGAGGAAGGUGGGGAUGACGUCAAAUCAUCAUGCCCCUUAUGAUUUGGGCUACACACGUGCUACAAUGGACAAUACAAAGGGCAGCGAAACCGCGAGGUCAAGCAAAUCCCAUAAAGUUGUUCUCAGUUCGGAUUGUAGUCUGCAACUCGACUACAUGAAGCUGGAAUCGCUAGUAAUCGUAGAUCAGCAUGCUACGGUGAAUACGUUCCCGGGUCU